UACGUAGGGACCGAGCGUUGUCCGGAUUCAUUGGGCGUAAAGAGCUCGUAGGCGGCUGCUCAAGUCGAAUGUGAAAACUCGAGGCUCAACCUCGAGCCUGCAUUCGAUACUGGGCGGCUAGAGUCUGGUAGGGGGAUCUGGAAUUCCUGGUGUAGCGGUGGAAUGCGCAGAUAUCAGGAGGAACACCGAUGGCGAAGGCAGUUCUCUGGGCCGUAACUGACGCUGAGGAGCGAAAGCGUGGGGAGCGAACAGG
rnacentral:rRNA from 1 species